GCUGGUACAUGCUGCGUUAGCAGGGAGCAGUGCCCAGCUGCAAGCCAGGCCGGUGGCGUGCUGACCAUCACUGCCCUGAUCUGGGCACAUCAGAGCAAGGGGCCCCCAUCCGGGGAGCCCAGCCUUGGGCGAGACCAAGCAGGAGUCCUGGGUCCCCUCCCAGGUAACUGGAAUAUGUUGAAGGUAGACCUACAAGAAACCAGGACACAAGAGCAGCCCCCAGGGGUCGGUGGGGAGUCCCCCCAACUAGGGUGGGUGAACAGCCCUCUCCUUCGAUAAGGACAGUCACACUGAAUCCUCUGCCCCAAACAACAGAUGCACACACGUGUCCCAGAGGAGCAGAUGCGCAGACCUUGCAGGAAGGAGAGACGACCUCCUUACCCCUGAGGGUCAGACACAGACAUAAAGCCCCACGCUCACUCCAACUUGGUCAGAGAGACAAACCUAUGGACCUUCCUGGAGAAAGAGACAGCACCCUCCGUACCACGCAAGGACAGAUUCCCACAUCCCCCAGGAGAACAGGCACAGGCGCGCCACCUCCCGCCUGGCCCAGGUCUAGAGGCUGCCUGAUGAGGCUGGGGCUGGGAGGCGCCUCUUUCUCACGCUCUCUGCCACUCUCUCGUCCGCCCAGCCAUUUCCUCUGCCUCAGAGGAGGGGGGCUGGGAGUGACAACCCAGAAAGGGUGGGAGGCGAAGGAGCCCCUGCCCAGGAUCCCAGGGGGCAGAUGUCAGAAGGCGACAGCUGGUCCUCCUCACCCCUGCGGCCUGGCCAGGCUGGAGGGUCAGCAGGCAGGGAGCUGGCUCCCCAGCCAGGCUGAAGACCGUCAGGAGCCCCCAGCCUGACGUCAGUCCCACUCAUUGUUGUUGCUCUGGCUUGAGUCACUCCCUGUGACGCCACCGGGGUCAGCUCUGGAGAGGCUGGGGGUGGCCUGCAGGGCCAGCCUCAGGGCUCAGCUCUCCUGGGGCACACACUAGGAUGGGGUGGGGCCAUCUGAGACCACACUCACCAUUGCAAAGCCAGCUGCCUACUCCCAAGUCUUGGGUUGGCCUUCGAUGUCCCUCCACAGGCCUGCGCUGCAGGCGUGGCUGGGAGGGCCUCAGCCGGUAGCCUGUCUGCCUGGCUGGCCUUGGCCUGGGCUCUCACUGAGAAGUCUGCUCUCUGUCCUUGCCUCUCCUCCCUCAGAACCCUCUGUUUCCACCCACAGCCCUCUGUAGGACCUCUCCCCCGAGCUCUUUUCCUUCCGCUUCCCCAGGAAACCUCCCCAGAAGAACUCCCCCCAGUCCCACUUUUCCUGGAAUCACUACCUGCUUCCCGCCCAGCUCCUCACGCGCUCUCCUGUGUCUCUGCCGCCGUCUCACUUUGUUUUGUGGUGCCCAGUCACCUCCCAACCUGCUGGGAGCAGGGCCUGGGACUCCUCUGCACUCUGAGUGUGUCACUUUCUAUUCCAGGCCCAGGCCUCUCUCUGGGAUGACAGCAGUGGCCUCCAUCCUGGCCCUCUCUGGCUUCUGCAAAACCUGCUGCCCUUUCCCACACAAUCUGUCGUGUUUUCUGGCCCAGGUGUAUCUCCCGGGCCGUCUCCCCCAUGAGGCUCUGGAGGAGCCAAGACUCCUCCGAGUCUUGUGACUUGUCCACCUUGGUAUGCCACAGGCCGGGUACGUGGACAGUUACAUACAUGUGGCCUGAAUGAAUGAAUGAAUGAAUGAUUACAUCUUGAUCAUCAGGGGAAGUGGCAUAGGCUGAGAGAAUUCAUUCCACACAGUCUCACGCUUUUGGCCAAGACCCUCUCUCCCUGACAGGACCACCCGGAUGGGCAUGGAACUCAGGGUCUGAGGUGCAAUGAGCACCACUCUGUGAGGACUCAGAGAGGUAAGAGGAGGCAAGGACUGGCCAGCAUCUGGGCCUGAGAUGGGAGAGGUGAGGGGUCAGCCUCCCUCUCAGGCAGGAGAGCCUCCAUGGAGAGGGCGAGCUUUGGAGUAGGGACGAGAGUGGGUAAAAAGGCUGGGGGAGUGAAGAGAGUAGCUGUGUGGCCUUGUAGUCAUCAGGUUCUCUGGAGAAACAGAACCAACAGGAUGUGUAUACAUUGAAAGAGACUUAUUAGGAAGAAUUGGCUCACGUGGUUAUGGAGGCUGACGAGUCUCAAAAUCUGCAGUCAGCAAGCUGGAGACCCAGGAAAGCCAAUGGUGUAGUUUCCAUCCAAGUAGUUCCAAAUGUGCCAGGCUUGAGACCCAAAAACAGAUUCUUCAGUUUGAGUCUGAAGGUGGGAGAAAACCCAUGUCCCAACUUGAACGCAGUCAGGCAGGAGCACUUGCUGUUACUUGUGGGAGUGUCAGAUCUUUUGCUCUAUUCGGGCCUUCAACUGAUUGAAUGGGGCCCACCCUCACUGGGGAGGACCAUCUGUUCUCCUCAGUCUAAGGGUUCCAAUGUUAAUCUCAUCCAGAGACACCCCCACAGAACACCCAAGACAGGGCUUGACCAAAUGUCUGGGCAUCCUGCGGCACAGUUAAGUUGACACAAAAUUAGCCAUCACAGCAAGUCACUACAGAUCACUGAGCCUCAGUUUCAUCAUCUGUAAAUUGGGGGGAAAUUAUAUUUCCCUUCAAAGGUAGCUGGAGAAAUCAACACAAUAGCGCAUGUGCAGUGCUGGCACGGUGCCUAGUAAGGCCCAGUGACUGGUAGUAGCAAUGAUGACGAUGUCAGGAGAGUAGCAGUGGAGGGCGCUGAGACCCAGUGUGUCGGGAUAGGGACAUCAGUCACUCCUCUCGCCCCCUGGCAGACUCUGGGAGUUGGGCUCUGGUUCCUCCCCCUCCCCAGGGCUGGUUCUGAUCCCCCUUGCUCCCUGCCCUUCAGCUCCUCACAGACUCUCCCCUCUGGAUGUUUUCUUCUGAGAUUCUGUCCCAGUUAAGUCCAGGCUACAGAAGAGGCUGCUGGUGUGUAAGGCAGGCAGCUUUCUCCUUCCCCAGGCCUUGGGGGUACUCCGUGGCUACCUGGGGAGAGGUGCCCACAUCUGGGAAAGCGACAGACCAGAGAUCAAGGCUGCAGAAGGGCAGAACUACAGGGAGGAAGGAGAGAUGGAGAACAGUUGGAGCUCCCUGUUCACAGAUGAAGAAAUCAGAAAGGAUGAAUUACAUCAAGAAGGACACAUAGGCAGUGGCAGAAUUACAAGUCUUACAAGAACUGUCACCAGAUCCGUCACGGUAGAGCGCCAAGCAAUGCUCCUGUGUGAAGAUACAGAGUAAGGUCAAGCCCCCUCCUCCAUCAUCUUUGCAGGAAUCCUGUCUAUUACGCAUAUUGGACAAACUAAAGUUUUGCCAUCCACUCAGCGUCAUGCAGCACACUGGCCUGGAUCCAUCUCCAAAUAGCAUGCCCUUCUUCUUGGUGGAUUGGUGCCCCUUCCAGGCCUCUGAGCCCAGAGUUGGAGUCCACGAUUCUGUCCCAGGGGCCGGCUCGCUGCCGAUGACUCCUCUCAGCCUGGGGAGGCAGCACAGAGCCCAUCAGGCCUCUCCUUCCCUCUCGUCUCUAUGGCGGAAGUGAGUUGUUCCAGCCGAAAUACAACAACAUGCUCGGUGGUGAGAGGGAAUGGACUCGUCCAAAUGGGGGGGGGGAAUACUUCUCUCCGUCAGAUCUUAAAAUCCGAGAGAUAUCAAUAAAAAGGUAGCUUGAAAAUCCUAGAGCAUCAUGUGACCCUACUUGUCCACGUGUGUGAAUGUCAAGCGGCCCGGGCUGCUGCCGUGGUGUCAGGGCUCGGCCGAGCUUGGCCGCGCCCCC
rnacentral:lncRNA from 1 species